UAAAACUAUGUAUAUGUAUGUGUGUGUAUAUAUAUAUAUGUGUGUGUGUAUAUAUAUAUAUAUACACACACACACAUAUAUAUAUACACACACAUACAUGUAUAUA
rnacentral:miRNA from 1 species